GAGCGGCGGACGGGUGAGUAAUGCCUAGGAAAUUGCCCUGAUGUGGGGGAUAACCAUUGGAAACGAUGGCUAAUACCGCAUAAUACCUUCGGGCCAAAGAGGGGGACCUUCGGGCCUCUCGCGUCAGGAUAUGCCUAGGUGGGAUUAGCUAGUUGGUGAGGUAAGGGCUCACCAAGGCGACGAUCCCUAGCUGGUCUGAGAGGAUGAUCAGCCACACUGGAACUGAGACACGGUCCAGACUCCUACGGGAGGCAGCAGUGGGGAAUAUUGCACAAUGGGCGCAAGCCUGAUGCAGCCAUGCCGCGUGUGUGAAGAAGGCCUUCGGGUUGUAAAGCACUUUCAGUCGUGAGGAAGGUAGUGUAGUUAAUAGCUGCAUUAUUUGACGUUAGCGACAGAAGAAGCACCGGCUAACUCCGUGCCAGCAGCCGCGGUAAUACGGAGGGUGCGAGCGUUAAUCGGAAUUACUGGGCGUAAAGCGCAUGCAGGUGGUUUGUUAAGUCAGAUGUGAAAGCCCGGGGCUCAACCUCGGAAUAGCAUUUGAAACUGGCAGACUAGAGUACUGUAGAGGGGGGUAGAAUUUCAGGUGUAGCGGUGAAAUGCGUAGAGAUCUGAAGGAAUACCGGUGGC
rnacentral:rRNA from 1 species